rnacentral:rRNA from 1 species
CAUGCAAGUCGAGGGGCAGCAUGAUUGAAGCUUGCUUCAAUUGAUGGCGACCGGCGCACGGGUGAGUAACGCGUAUCCAACCUUCCGUACACUCAGGGAUAGCCUUUCGAAAGAAAGAUUAAUACCUGAUGGUAUGAUGAGAUUGCAUGAUAGCAUCAUUAAAGAUUUAUCGGUGUACGAUGGGGAUGCGUUCCAUUAGGUAGUAGGCGGGGUAACGGCCCACCUAGCCUACGAUGGAUAGGGGUUCUGAGAGGAAGGUCCCCCACAUUGGAACUGAGACACGGUCCAAACUCCUACGGGAGGCAGCAGUGAGGAAUAUUGGUCAAUGGACGAGAGUCUGAACCAGCCAAGUAGCGUGAAGGAUGAAGGUCUUACGGAUUGUAAACUUCUUUUAUAAGGGAAUAAAACCUCCCACGUGUGGGAGCUUGUAUGUACCUUAUGAAUAAGCAUCGGCUAACUCCGUGCCAGCAGCCGCGGUAAUACGGAGGAUGCGAGCGUUAUCCGGAUUUAUUGGGUUUAAAGGGAGCGCAGACGGGUCGUUAAGUCAGCUGUGAAAGUUUGGGGCUCAACCUUAAAAUUGCAGUUGAUACUGGCGUCCUUGAGUGCGGUUGAGGUGUGCGGAAUUCGUGGUGUAGCGGUGAAAUGCUUAGAUAUCACGAAGAACUCCGAUUGCGAAGGCAGCACACUAAGCCGUAACUGACGUUCAUGCUCGAAAGUGUGGGUAUCAAACAGGAUUAGAUACCCUGGUAGUCCACACGGUAAACGAUGGAUACUCGCUGUUGGCGAUAUACGGUCAGCGGCUUAGCGAAAGCGUUAAGUAUCCCACCUGGGGAGUACGCCGGCACGGUGAAACUCAGAGGAA